GCCGCCCUAGCCCAACUGGCAGAGGCGCGCCCUUGAGGUGGGCGAGGUUCGGGGUUCGAAUCCCCGGGGCGGCACCA
rnacentral:tRNA from 1 species